rnacentral:tRNA from 1 species
GCGGGCGUAGCUCAGCUUGGUUUAAAGCGCCUCCCUGUCACGGAGGAGAUCGUGGGUUCAAAUCCCAUCGCCCGCG